UACGUAGGGUGCAAGCGUUGUCCGGAAUUAUUGGGCGUAAAGAGCUCGUAGGCGGUCUGUCGCGUCGGCUGUGAAAACUCGGGGCUCAACCCCGAGCCUGCAGUCGAUACGGGCAGACUAGAGUGCGGUAGGGGAGACUGGAAUUCCUGGUGUAGCGGUGAAAUGCGCAGAUAUCAGGAGGAACACCGGCGGCGAAGGCGGGUCUCUGGGCCGAUACUGACGCUGAGGAGCGAAAGCGUGGGGAGCGAACAGG
rnacentral:rRNA from 1 species